UGUAGUCUCGCACAGAUGCAUAUCAAUAAGCGGAGGAAAAGAAACUAACAAGGAUUCCCUUAGUAACGGCGAGUGAAGCGGGAAGAGCUCAAAUUUGAAAUCUUCAAGGUUUUACCUUGACGAAUUGUAGUUUAAAGAAGUGUUUUCUGUUGAAGUUUUGGUAAAAGUUCUUUGGAAUAGGACAUCAUAGAGGGUGAGAAUCCCGUAUUUGACCAUUAUUUUCAGCUGUGUGAUACACUUUCAAAGAGUCGGAUUGUUUGGGAAUGCAGUCCAAAAUGGGUGGUAAAUUUCAUCUAAAGCUAAAUAUUGGCGAGAGACCGAUAGCGAACAAGUACCGUGAGGGAAAGAUGAAAAGAACUUUGAAAAGAGAGUUAAACAGUACGUGAAAUUGUCAAAAGGGAAGCGUUUGACACCAGUGUUGUUUUCUCGAAAAUCAAUUAAAAAGAGUUAGAUUUUGUUGUGUAUUGACCUUAACAGCUUGCAUUUCAAUUUUCUUGCUUUUUUUAAUGCACUUUUCGUUUAACAAGUCAACAUCAGUUUCUUUUGUUGUAAAAAGGUCAUUGGAAGGUGGCUUUCUUUUCGGAGAAAGUGUUUAUAGCUUUUGACUCCUGCAAUCGGAGAGACUGAGGUCUGCAGCGUAGAUCCUUCGGGGUUAGAUACAUUUGUGCUAAGUUAUAGCUUUUUAUAGACAACUUGUUGACUAUGAUUAGUCUUGUAGCUUACUCGCUUAUGCUAUUUUACCUACGCUUAGGAUGUUGAGCGCAUGUCUCUCUCU
rnacentral:rRNA from 1 species